UGCUGCUCGCCGCUUCUCCGGGAAGGCGGCGUGAGCCAGCAGUCAGUAGAGGGCAAUAGAGAAAUACAGUUUGUGAUGCCUAAAGGAUUCGAAGCCCUGAUUAUGUGUUUACAGAAAAGAAAAAGAAGAAAAGAAGAGCCAGGAGGAUAGGUUGUUCAGUUUACUACCGGAGACCUGACUGUGACAGACCACCAAGAAAACAAAAUUUUCAAAGAGAGUAGAGAAGACCUUCUGCAGCAUCUGCAAGUCUGUCCUUUUUUCUUCAGAGUUACGUAGGAUAACUUGGCCAGAACUUAUUGAUGUCUGCAUGUUCAGUGGACUCGGGGAUGGACUGGGAGAUGCGGAAAUGUACUCUUUGGAAGAAACAGGAGAGGAGGCAUUUCAAAGAUCCUGCAGGUGACAAAGGUGAUGAUCUGCUGACAGAAUAAAUAAACCAUAGAAAGUGCCAAGGCUGCACAGGCAUUUGCUGUGGUAUCACUCCCACAUGAGGAACCUUUGUCACAGUCUUUCUUCAAGUAUGUUCUCUCCUGUGGGUUCAUUAUUUUUCAGAGGAUGGGUCUUUCUGCCCUGCAGGGAUCUAUCUAUCACUGCUGACUCUCUGCAUCUUCUCCACAUGGAAGAAGUAAUUGGAUUGUAUUUUCUGCACACGACCAAGACAGCAGGGAAACCCACAGCUGUAAGACAGAGAACCAAGCUGUCUAGAGACAUGCCUAAUAAUGUCAUCACGACUAAGCACAUGAGGAGGAUGAGGUGUCCCAUAGCCAGCCGUGAAACAUGCCAAAGAUCAAAACCAAAAGUGACUGGACCUCAGACAAAGGAGGAGAAGGGAAGUUGUUGAGGUGCCCACACAGAUGUCCAAUUACAAUUCCACCAAGGUGCAUUUGAAACUGUGUCACAGCUCAGCCUCUUCUCCCCAGUGCCUGUGGAGGCAGCUUCCAGCAUGAUAUAUCCCAUCUUUGACUCACCAGAAGACAUGCUUCAAUUCAGCUAGAAAAUGGGAACUUAAGGAAAGAGCUUGAAAGUCUGUGGCAAGCCUAUGAGGACUGAUGUACAACACAAUUGUAAAGUUUAAUUCUAGACUGAAAAUCAAUGAAUAUACAAAGAUUCAUAUUUCUAAGAAAACAAAGACAUAAAUCCACAGCCAUUUUGACAAAUGAUGUGCAGAUUUCUCCUGGGGAACAUGCAAAGAAGGCCCACACCUACGGAAAGGCUGUCCCAGGAUUAUGUCACCUACAUGUAUCAUGGAGGAAUUUUCUUCUUGGCUGCUCAGAGGAGGAUUUUUAACAUUUGCCUUUCAUU